rnacentral:rRNA from 1 species
GACGAACGCUGGCGGCGUGCUUAACACAUGCAAGUCGAACGGAAAGGCCCUGCUUUUGUGGGGUGCUCGAGUGGCGAACGGGUGAGUAACACGUGAGUAACCUGCCCUUGACUUUGGGAUAACUUCAGGAAACUGGUGCUAAUACCGGCUAGGAGCUCCUGCUGCAUGGUGGGGGUUGGAAAGUUUCGGCGGUUGGGGAUGGACUCGCGGCUUAUCAGCUUGUUGGUGGGGUAGUGGCUUACCAAGGCUUUGACGGGUAGCCGGCCUGGGAGGGUGACCGGCCACAUUGGGACUGAGAUACGGCCCAGACUCGUACGGGAGGCAGCGGUGGGGAAGAUUGCACAAUGGGCGGAAGCCUGAUGCAGCAACGCCGCGUGCGGGAUGACGUCCUUCGGGUUGGAAACCGCUUUCGCCUGUGACGAAGCGUGAGUGACGGUAAUGGGUAAAGAAGCACCGGCUAACUACGUG